rnacentral:rRNA from 1 species
CCUACGGGUGGCAGCAGUGGGGGAUAUUGCACAAUGGGGGGAACCCUGAUGCAGCGACGCCGCGUGGGUGAAGGAGCGUUUCGGCGCGUAAAGCUCUAUCGGCAGGGAAGAAGAUGACGGUACCUGACCAUGCAGCCCCGGCUAAUUCCGAGCCAGCAGCCGCGGUCAUACGUCGGGGGCACGCGUUCUCCGGUUUUACUGGGUGUAAAGGGGGCGCAGACGGCAGUGCAAGACAGGUGGGAAAGCCCGGGGCCCAACCCCGGGACUGCACUUGGAACUGGAUGGCGGGAGUGCAGGAGGGGCAGGUGGAAUUCCAAGUGUAGCGGUGAAAUGCGUAGAGAUUAGGAGGAACACCAGUGGCGAAGGCGGCCUGCUGGACUGUGACUGACGUUGAGGUCCGAAGGCGUGGGGAGCAAACAGGAUUAGAUACCCGAGUAGUC